rnacentral:piRNA from 1 species
UGGCAACUGGCUGCAGGCGACAAGGU